rnacentral:rRNA from 1 species
GACGGAGGGGGCUAGCGUUGUUCGGAAUCACUGGGCGUAAAGGGCGCGUAGGCGGCCUAGCAAGUCAGGCGUGAAAUCCCGGGGCUUAACCCCGGAACUGCGCUUGAAACUGCAAGGCUUGAGUCUCGGAGAGGAUGGUGGAAUUCCUAGUGUAGAGGUGAAAUUCGUAGAUAUUAGGAGGAACACCGAUGGCGAAGGCAGCCAUCUGGACGAGUACUGACGCUGAGGCGCGAAAGCGUGGGGAGCAAACAGG